UGAACGCUGGCGGCAGGCUUAAGACAUGCAAGUCGAGCGGUAACAGGUCGCUGUGAUCUCUUCGGAGUGAACUUGAUGCUGACGAGCGGCGGACGGGUGAGUAACGCGUAGGAAUCUACCCAGUAGAGGGGGAUAGCUCGAGGAAACUCGAAUUAAUACCGCAUACGCCCUAAGGGGGAAAGGCCGGGAUCUUCGGACCGGUCACUAUUGGAUGAGCCUGCGUUGGAUUAGCUAGUUGGUGGGGUAAAGGCCCACCAAGGCGACGAUCCAUAGCUGGUCUGAGAGGAUGAUCAGCCACACUGGAACUGAGACACGGUCCAGACUCCUACGGGAGGCAGCAGUCGGGAAUAUUGGACAAUGGGGGCAACCCUGAUCCAGCCAUGCCGCGUGUGUGAAGAAGGCUUUCGGGUUGUAAAGCACUUUCAGUAGGGAGGAAGGCUGUAGCGUUAAUAGCGCUGCAGAUUGACGUUACCUACAGAAGCAGCACCGGCUAACUCC
rnacentral:rRNA from 1 species